rnacentral:rRNA from 1 species
AUGAAGCUUGGAAAGGAGGAGGAAGCCGGCGACACACGAGGAACCAUGCUUCUCUCGCGGGUUUGCGAGCUCAUUGAUCCGAACAACAGUGAAUGGGACGAGGGGCUCGUGCAUCAAGCGCCCAGUUCAGAGGAUGCCGAGGAAAUUCUGAGGAUACCUAUCAGUGAUCAAGUUGAAGACUUUCUAGCCCGGCAUUUUGACAACAAGGGAGUUUUUUCAGUUAAAAGUCUCUUUGAAGAUGGCGGGCAUCUAUUUUUCAACUGCAAGGAGGUAAUCUGUGGCGUGCUUUGGAGAUGGAGGAUGUACGUCUCGUUGCACUUCCGUAGGAUCGGCAACGGACAGGGGUGGUGCAUGUUGCUGUGGUGCUGGUCGUCCGCGAGAAACAAUGAGAAUCGCAACAAAAACGCAGACGAACAGAGGAGCCGCAGUUUCUUAUCAGGCAGCAUGCUACUGAGUGGAAAGCCCGAAAUAAAACAUGCAUAA